UAGGUCGAGCUCAACCACCGAGCCACGCCAGCCAGGCUGUGCAUCUUUUAUUUUAAAUUAAUAUGUAUUAAAGAGGGGAAAACAACAUAAAGUACAAAAACUAAAGCCCACCCAUCCUAACACCAGUGAAGACUCUGGUAUAUUUCUUCCUGGUCUUCUUUUUCUUUGUAUGGAUUCCUGUUGGCAUUGUCAUUUCUAAAUCCAGUUCUAUAAUAAUGGACCCUCAAACCAAAGUUAAAAAUAUAGGAAGAAAAAGAAAACCAGUUACACAACCAAUCUGGCUGGAUCCUUGAUAAUUAACUCUGGAUCGUCUCUCAUUUUCUCCCAGCUACAUCCGCUACUCCCAGAUCUGUGCCAAAGCAGUGCGGGAUGCACUGAAGACUGAAUUCAAAGCAAGCGCAGAGAAGACUUCCAGCAGCAGCGUCAAAAUUGUGAAAGUGAAGAAGGAAUAAUGUACCCUGACUAAAGCUUGAAUGCUACAUUUUCAAAGUGAAGAUGUGUGGGCACAGGUUAUGGCAGAUUGGAAACGAUCGCACUUCAUGGGGAAAGUAACACCUGUCUUGUUGAUGGAUUGACAUUGCCAAUAAACCGAAACAUGCUCCCCUCCG